rnacentral:rRNA from 1 species
ACGGGGGGGGCAAGCGUUGUUCGGAAUUACUGGGCGUGAAGGGCUCGUAGGCGGCCAACUAAGUCGGACGUGAAAUCCCCCGGCUCAACCGGGGAACUGCGCGGAAAACUGGAAGGCUUGAAUACGGGAGAAGAGGGCGGAGUUCCCAGUGUAGAGGUGAAAUUCGUAGAGAUUGGGAGGAACACCGGCGGCGAAAGCGGCUCUCUAGACCGAUAUUGACGCUCAUACGCGAGAGCGUGGGUAGCAAACAGGA